rnacentral:rRNA from 1 species
CGUCGAGCGCACUCUUCGGAGUGAGCGGCGGACGGGUUAGUAACGCGUGGGAAUGUACCCAGAUCUAAGGAAUAGCCUCGGGAAACUGAGAGUAAUACCUUAUACGCCCUUCGGGGGAAAGAUUUAUCGGAUUUGGAUCAGCCCGCGUUAGAUUAGAUAGUUGGUGGGGUAAUGGCCUACCAAGUCUACGAUCUAUAGCUGGUUUUAGAGGAUGAUCAGCAACACUGGGACUGAGACACGGCCCAGACUCCUACGGGAGGCAGCAGUGGGGAAUCUUGGACAAUGGGCGCAAGCCUGAUCCAGCCAUGCCGCGUGAGUGAUGAAGGCCUUAGGGUCGUAAAGCUCUUUCGCCAGGGAUGAUAAUGACAGUACCUGGUAAAGAAACCCCGGCUAACUCCGUGCCAGCAGCCGCGGUAAUACGGAGGGGGUUAGCGUUGUUCGGAAUUACUGGGCGUAAAGCGUACGUAGGCGGGUUGUUAAGUUAGAGGUGAAAUCCCAGGGCUCAACCCUGGAACUGCCUUUAAUACUGGCAACCUAGAGUUCGAGAGAGGUGAGUGGAAUUCCGAGUGUAGAGGUGAAAUUCGUAGAUAUUCGGAGGAACACCAGUGGCGAAGGCGGCUCACUGGCUCGAUACUGACGCUGAGGUACGAAAGUGUGGGGAGCAAACAGGAU